GAACGCACAUUGCGCCCCUUGGUAUUCCGAGGGGCAUGCCUGUUCGAGCGUCAUUAUAACCCCUCAAGCUCAGCUUGGUAUUGGGGCCUGCCAUCCUGGCAGCCCUUAAAAUCAGUGGCGGUGCCAUCCGGCUCUAAGCGUAGUAACUCUUCUCGCUAUGGAGUCCUGGUGGAUGCUUGCCAUUAAUCUUUUAACUUCUAUGGUUGACCUCGGAUCAGGUAGGGAUACCCGCUGAACUUAAG
rnacentral:misc_RNA from 1 species